GAUGAACGCUGGCGGCGUGCCUAAUACAUGCAAGUCGAGCGAAUGGAUUGAGAGCUUGCUCUUAUGAAGUUAGCGGCGGACAGGUGAGUAACACGUGGGUAACCUGCCCAUAAGACUGGGAUAACUCCGGGAAACCGGGGCUAAUACCGGAUAACAUUUUGAACCGCAUGGUUCGAAAUUGAAAGGCGGCUUCGGCUGUCACUUAUGGAUGGACCCGCGUCGCAUUAGCUAGUUGGUGAGGUAACGGCUCACCAAGGCAACGAUGCGUAGCCGACCUGCGAGGGUGAUCGGCCACACUGGGACUGAGACACGGCCCAGACUCCUACGGGAGGCAGCAGUAGGGAAUCUUCCGCAAUGGACGAAAGUCUGACGGAGCAACGCCGCGUGAGUGAUGAAGGCUUUCGGGUCGUAAAACUCUGUUGUUAGGGAAGAACAAGUGCUAGUUGAAUAAGCUGGCACCUUGACGGUACCUAACCAGAAAGCCACGGCUAACUACGUGCCAGCCGCCGCCGUAA
rnacentral:rRNA from 1 species